AGGAGGAACAACCCCAGUGGCGGCAGCCAGCUCUGGAGUCCUGGAUUCAGCUCCAGCAGUAACUACAGAGCUCUCAGCCUGCAGGGCCUGGAUGCUCUGGGGGCGG
rfam:Canis lupus familiaris chromosome 5, whole genome shotgun sequence.